rnacentral:lncRNA from 1 species
CUUCAGUUAUCUCAUCUUUAAAAUUAGAAUGAUAAUAUCUGCUUCAAAGCUGUCUCAAGGCUUAUAAUCUCUAUGAGUAAUGAAAAAAAUAAGACUUCCUUUGCCUGACCUAUAGCAUAUCUUCCAUAAAUGCCGUAGAAAUAAAACCCAGCGUUACUACUGGUGAAGAUUGUUGAUACAAAACAAAAUCCCUGAACUGUGACCCCUCCAGGAUUUCUCUGGGUGGAGAGUGGGCUACUGGGAGCAUCAUUUUCAGUUGGAGGUUUAAAAAAGUCUGCUGUCAACAUGGAUAUUAAACAAAACAAAUAGAUGCGUGUCCGGCGAGAGACGUGUUGGUUGAAGUCAGCGAGGGGUAGCUGGCCCCUGAUACACGUGGAGCCGUCCAGUGAUGUUGCCUAGAAACAGGGCAUUAUCAAAGAGAACCUCACGUCAGGUUGGAGCAGUUCCCAGACAGCCGCUUCUGGAAAGAAGCAGGAUUUCCUCUUGAUCAACAAAGGAGAAUGCGACUCCCGAAGGGGCAAACCAAUUUCCACUCGGUCUCCACUGCCAUCUUCCUAUGAUCGACUUUUAAAGAGAGCAGGAGCUUUGGAGCUCAUGGU